GUGUCAGCCGCCGCGGUAAUACGGAGGGGGUUAGCGUUGUUCGGAAUUACUGGGCGUAAAGCGCGCGUAGGCGGAUUGGAAAGUUGGGGGUGAAAUCCCGGGGCUCAACCCCGGAACUGCCUCCAAAACUUCCAGUCUGGAGUUCGAGAGAGGUGAGUGGAAUUCCGAGUGUAGAGGUGAAAUUCGUAGAUAUUCGGAGGAACACCAGUGGCGAAGGCGGCUCACUGGCUCGAUACUGACGCUGAGGUGCGAAAGUGUGGGGAGCAAACAGGAUUAGAUACCCUGGUAGUCCACACCGUAAACGAUGAAUGCCAGACGUCGGGCAGCAUGCUGUUCGGUGUCACACCUAACGGAUUAAGCAUUCCGCCUGGGGAGUACGGCCGCAAGGUUAAAACUCAAAUGAAUUGACGGGG
rnacentral:rRNA from 1 species